AGUAGCGGUGAAAUGCGUAGAUAUCUGGAGGAAUACCAAAGGCGAAGGCAGUCCCCUGGUCCGAUACUGACACUGAGGUACGAAAGCGUGGGGAGCAAACAGGAUUAAAUACCCUGGUAGUCCACGCCCUAAACGAUGUCGAUUAGCCAUUGGAAGGACCCCUUUUCCUUUCAGUGACGUAGCUAACGCGUUAAAUCGACCGCCUGGGAAGUACGACCGCAAGGUUAAAACUCAAAGGAAAUUGACGGGGACCUGAACAAGCGGUGAAUGAUGUGGAUUAAUUCGAUGCUACGCGAAAGAACCUUACCUACCUUUGACAUGGCCAAAGUUCUACCGAGAGGCGGAAGUACUCGUAAGAGGAUUGGCGCACAGGUGCUGCAUGGUUGUCGUCAGUUCGUGUCGUGAGAUGUUGGGUUCAGUCCCGCAACGAACGCAACCCUUAUCUUUAAUUGCUCCUAUUUUAACAGGCACUUUAAAGAAACUGCCAAUGAUAAGUUGGAGGAAGGUGGGGAUCACGUCAAGUCCGCAUGGCCUUUAUAGGUAGGGCUUCACACGUCAUACAAUGGUUAGAACAAAGAGCUGCAAAUUCGUAAGAAGGAGCCAAUCUCACAAACCUAACCUCAGUUCGAAUUGCGGUCUGCAACUCGAGCGCAUGAAGCCGGAAUCGCUAGUAAUCGUGGAUCAGAAUGCCA
rnacentral:rRNA from 1 species